rnacentral:rRNA from 1 species
GACGAACGCUGGCGGCGUGCCUAAUACAUGCAAGUCGAGCGGACAGAUAAGGAGCUUGCUCCUUUGAAGUCAGCGGCGGACGGGUGAGUAACACGUGGGCAACCUGCCUAUAAGACUGGGAUAACUCCGGGAAACCGGGGCUAAUACCGGAUAGAUUCUUUCCUCUCAUGAGGAAAGAAGGAAAGAUGGUUUCGGCUAUCACUUAUAGAUGGGCCCGCGGCGCAUUAGCUAGUUGGUAAGGUAACGGCUUACCAAGGCGACGAUGCGUAGCCGACCUGAGAGGGUGAUCGGCCACACUGGGACUGAGACACGGACCAGACUCCUACGGGAGGCAGCAGUAGGGAACCUUCCGCAAUGGACGGAAGUCUGACGGAGCAACGCCGCGUGAACGAAGAAGGCCUUCGGGUCGUAAAGUUCUGUUGUUAGGGAAGAACAAGUACGAUAGUAACUGAUCGUACCUUGACGGUACCUAACCAGAAAGCCACGGCUAACUACGUGCCAGCCGCCGCAGUAA